UUAAUAUGUAACUUAACAUACAUUAUGGAAAGGAAACAGAGAAUUAUAAGUUACCGUGCAGCUUCAACAAACGUGAAAACGGAAAGCAUUCUUGCCCCUCUUAAAAGUGCUUAUCUAACGUGCUUUUCAAUCUCUUCCUCGACCAAAUCCAAUCCGUGGCGCAUGGUGAUUAAUGGAACAAGCAAAUGAGAAUGAAGUUAAGAGAAACGAAAGAUACACGAAGAUGAUGCCAACGCAGAUUCAUGAUGGAAUUCGGUUGUGGUUGGAGAAUUGAUGGAGAAUUGUUGUCUUGAUAUUCAUUGUUGUAUACAUGAUUUGUUAUUUAACAAGACUUCUGUAUCAUCGGAGGAUUCGCUUCCCGGCACUUCGAGUUUGACCCAACAUUCUAUGGCCUCAUAGUUAACUAUUGUGGGAGCUACUCAGCAUAAAUUUCUUAAUUCCUCGUACUAGUUUACACUAUAAAUUACCACUCUCACAAAUCUUACGUUUGAAAAUACUUGAAUUUCUUCCUUCAGGCUUCCGUUAUCAAUUGCAGAACUUGUUUGGCCAUCUGACAUUCUGAAAAGACGUGUUCUUAAUCGUAAACCAAUUUUAGCUGUGAGGGCACCGAACAAAUACCAAUCCGUACGUGAAGUUCAAUGGUAUCUGGCUGUAUAUCAGGCAGGAUAUGCGAAAGCUCACCAGUGAGAUCAUUUUGGUGCAUCGAGGAAAAAGCAUCAUCACAACUAAGGCAAAUAUAGCUGAUGAAGCUGGUGCUUCAGCCAUUAUCAUUAUAAACAAUCGUACAGAACUUUUCAAGAUGGUUUGUGAGGUAAAUGAAACUGAUGUGGAUAUUGGAAUUCCUGCUGUUAUGCUUCCACAAGAUGCUGGAUUUAACUUGGAAAGAUACAUACAAAAUAAAUCGAUGGUGGCCAUACAGUUAUAUUCUCCAUUGCGUCCAUUGGUUGAUGUUGCGGAAGUGUUUCUAUGGCUUAUGGCUGUUGGUACCAUUUUAUGUGCUUGUUAUUGGUUUGCUUGGACUGCGAGAGAAGCUGUUAUUGAGCAAGACAAGCUUUUAAAGGUUACCGAGUUACUUUACUGAAUGCACUGCCCUGCUGGAUGCGAUGCUGUCAUUCUUAAACAAACUCUAACCGUGAACAAAAAAGUUUGUUUUUUAAACAAGAGAUGGAGCUUUCUCUUGUAGGUCUUCAGAAUGCUGGCAAGACUUCUCUUGUCAAUUCAAUUGCUGAGGAUACAGUGAGGACAUGAUUUCAACUGUUGGGUUCAACAUGCGAAAAGUGACCAAGGGAAAUGUUACGAUAAAGCUUUGGGAUCUUGGUGGACAACGGAGGUUUCGAACAAUGUGGGAGCGUUACUGUCGCGGUGUCUCUGCUAUUGUCUGUAGAUACUCAACUAUAUGCAGACAUUUGCGCUGCACUCAGGAGUCUGUUGCGAAAGUGUGCCGACAUUUGUGCUGAAAAAGAUUCAAGUAAAGGGCACAAUUUCUGCAACUUUGAUCAUUAUUGGAGUUCAAUCAUACAACCUCAAGAGCUUAAUAGCUUAGCCUUCACUGGAUAUACAUAAGUACUUCAAGAGUUUAAUAGCUUAUCUGUGUAUAUAUAGAUGGAAUGUGUAUUCUAUAUGUAAAUAAGGAAGAAUGCAUAUUGAGCUGUGUGAUUAUUCUUUACGAUACAUAGAAGUACCAGUAGCUGUUGUAUAUAGUAGAAAAAAUAGGGUAUUAUUCAAGUAUUGUGUAUAGGUAUAUAUAUGUAUGUGAGAUACAGAUUGAGGAAUAAAGUUCCACCAUAAUGGAACUGGGUUGUUGAUUGAAUAUUUAUGUAUUAUGCAUUGAAAUUUUAAUAAAAUAUGGUGUAAUGCAGCAUAUAUGGUGUAAUGCA